GAAAAGUGAGCGGAUGAACUGAGGGUAGCGGAGAAAUUCCAAUCGAACCUGGAGAUAGCUGGUUCUCUCCGAAAUAGCUUUAGGGCUAGCCUCAAGUGAUGAUUAUUGGAGGUAGAGCACUGUUUGGACGAGGGGCCCCUCUCGGGUUACCGAAUUCAGACAAACUCCGAAUGCCAAUUAAUUUAACUUGGGAGUCAGAACAUGGGUGAUAAGGUCCGUGUUCGAAAGGGAAACAGCCCAGACCACCAGCUAAGGUCCCAAAAUAUAUGUUAAGUGGAAAAGGAUGUGGCGUUGCCCAGACAACUAGGAUGUUGGCUUAGAAGCAGCCAUCAUUUAAAGAGUGCGUAAUAGCUCACUAGUCGAGUGACACUGCGCCGAAAAUGUACCGGGGCUAAACAUAUUACCGAAGCUGUGGAUUGUCCUUUGGACAAUGGUAGGAGAGCGUUCUAAGGGCGUUGAAGCAUGAUCGUAAGGACAUGUGGAGCGCUUAGAAGUGAGAAUGCCGGUGUGAGUAGCGAAAGACGGGUGAGAAUCCCGUCCACCGAUUGACCAAGGUUUCCAGAGGAAGGCUCGUCCGCUCUGGGUUAGUCGGGUCCUAAGCUGAGGCCGACAGGCGUAAGCGAUGGAUAACAGGUUGAUAUUCCUGUACCACCUAUAAUCGUUUUAAUCGAUGGGGGGACGCAGUAGGAUAGGCGAAGCGUGCGAUUGGAUUGCACGUCUAAGCAGUAAGGCUGAGUAUUAGGCAAAUCCGGUACUCGUUAAGGCUGAGCUGUGAUGGGGAGAAGACAUUGUGUCUUCGAGUCGUUGAUUUCACACUGCCGAGAAAAGCCUCUAGAUAGAAAAUAGGUGCCCGUACCGCAAACCGACACAGGUAGUCAAGAUGAGAAUUCUAAGGUGAGCGAGCGAACUCUCGUUAAGGAACUCGGCAAAAUGACCCCGUAACUUCGGGAGAAGGGGUGCUCUUUAGGGUUAACGCCCAGAAGAGCCGCAGUGAAUAGGCCCAAGCGACUGUUUAUCAAAAACACAGGUCUCUGCUAAACCGUAAGGUGAUGUAUAGGGGCUGACGCCUGCCCGGUGCUGGAAGGUUAAGAGGAGUGGUUAGCUUCUGCGAAGCUACGAAUCGAAGCCCCAGUAAACGGCGGCCGUAACUAUAACGGUCCUAAGGUAGCGAAAUUCCUUGUCGGGUAAGUUCCGACCCGCACGAAAGGCGUAACGAUUUGGGCACUGUCUCAACGAGAGACUCGGUGAAAUCAUAGUACCUGUGAAGAUGCAGGUUACCCGCGACAGGACGGAAAGACCCCGUGGAGCUUUACUGUAGCCUGAUAUUGAAAUUCGGCACAGCUUGUACAGGAUAGGUAGGAGCCUUUGAAACGUGAGCGCUAGCUUACGUGGAGGCGCUGGUGGGAUACUACCCUAGCUGUGUUGGCUUUCUAACC
rnacentral:rRNA from 1 species